rnacentral:lncRNA from 12 species
UGGUGGUAGAGAAGUUAAUCAGGAAGCAAUGUGGAUUCUUAUGAAAACAUCAUUUGAAAUAAAGAAUUGCUUGAUCAACGCAAAGCAUGUCUCCUGAUGAAAACAGACUGUUCCUCAAAGAACAAAUUAAGGACUUUCAGUCCUGGAGG